AUUGAACGCUGGCGGAAUGCUUUACACAUGCAAGUCGAACGGCAGCACGGACUUCGGUCUGGUGGCGAGUGGCGAACGGGUGAGUAAUGUAUCGGAACGUGCCCAGUCGUGGGGGAUAACGUAGUGAAAAUUACGCUAAUACCGCAUACGAUCUAUGGAUGAAAGCGGGGGAUCGCAAGACCUCGAGCGAUUGGAGGGGCCGAUAUUGGAUUAGGUAGUUGGUGGGGUAAAGGCCCACCAAGCCAACGAUCUGUAGCUGGUCUGAGAGGACGACCAGCCACACUGGAACUGAGACACGGUCCAGACUCCUACGGGAGGCAGCAGUGGGGAAUUUUGGACAAUGGGCGAAAGCCUGAUCCAGCCAUUCCGCGUGCAGGAUGAAGGCCCUCGGGUUGUAAACUGCUUUUGUACAGAACGAAAAGGUUUCUACUAAUACUAGGAGCUCAUGACGGUACUGUAAGAAUAAGCACCGGCUAACUACGUGCCAGCCGCCGCGGUAA
rnacentral:rRNA from 1 species